GAAUUCGCCCUUAGAGUUUGAUCCUGGCUCAGGACGAACGCUGGCGGCGCGCCUAACACAUGCAAGUCGAACGAGCGAGAGAGAGCUUGCUUUCUUGAGCGAGUGGCGAACGGGUGAGUAACGCGUGAGGAACCUGCCUCAAAGAGGGGGACAACAGUUGGAAACGACUGCUAAUACCGCAUAAGCCCACGGCUCGGCAUCGAGCAGAGGGAAAAGGAGCAAUCCGCUUUGAGAUGGCCUCGCGUCCGAUUAGCUGGUUGGUGAGGUAACGGCUCACCAAGGCGAUGGCGGGUAGCCGGUCUGAGAGGAUGUCCGGCCACACUGGAACUGAGACACGGUCCAGACACCUACGGGUGGCAGCAGUCGAGAAUCAUUCACAAUGGGGGAAACCCUGAUGGUGUGACGCCGCGUGGGGGAAUGAAGGUCUUCGGAUUGUAAACCCCUGUCAUGUGGGAGCAAAUUAAAAAGAUAGUACCACAAGAGGAAGAGACGGCUAACUCUGUGCCAGCAGCCGCGGUAAUACAGAGGUCUCAAGCGUUGUUCGGAAUCACUGGGCGUAAAGCGUGCGUAGGCUGUUUCGUAAGUCGUGUGUGAAAGGCGCGGGCUCAACCCGCGGACGGCACAUGAUACUGCGAGACUAGAGUAAUGGAGGGGGAACCGGAAUUCUCGGUGUAGCAGUGAAAUGCGUAGAUAUCGAGAGGAACACUCGUGGCGAAGGCGGGUUCCUGGACAUUAACUGACGCUGAGGCACGAAGGCCAGGGGAGCGAAAGGGAUUAGAUACCCCUGUAGUCCUGGCAGUAAACGGUGCACGCUUGGUGUGCGGGGAAUCGACCCCCUGCGUGCCGGAGCUAACGCGUUAAGCGUGCCGCCUGGGGAGUACGGUCGCAAGAUUAAAACUCAAAGAAAUUGACGGGGGCCCGCACAAGCAGUGGAGUAUGUGGUUUAAUUCGACGCAACGCGAAGAACCUUACCAAGUCUUGACAUCCCUUGACGAUGCUGGAAACAGUAUUUCUCUUCGGAGCAAGGAGACAGGUGGUGCAUGGUUGUCGUCAGCUCGUGUCGUGAGAUGUUGGGUUAAGUCCCGCAACGAGCGCAACCCUUAUGGUCAGUUACUACGCAAGAGGACUCUGGCCAGACUGCCGUUGACAAAACGGAGGAAGGUGGGGAUGACGUCAAAUCAUCAUGCCCUUUAUGACUUGGGCUACACACGUACUACAAUGGCGUUAAACAAAGAGAAGCAAGACCGCGAGGUGGAGCAAAACUCAGAAACAACGUCCCAGUUCGGACUGCAGGCUGCAACUCGCCUGCACGAAGUCGGAAUUGCUAGUAAUCGUGGAUCAGCAUGCCACGGUGAAUACGUUCCCGGGCCUUGCACACACCGCCCGUCA
rnacentral:rRNA from 1 species